UCUGUUCCUGCAUUCAUCUACGUGGUAGUCGCGCGCCCCAGCUCUGGCGACUCCAGAUUGGGACGGAGUUGGGGUUGUACACCGCCCGUGGUGCAUUUGCAGGCGUGUGCGCUGAGCUGUUCGAGGUGUUGGGAUGAACUUGGUUUUGAGGCCAGCUUGCUGGUACCCGGACCGGGGGAGUGCCAUUCGCCUUGGGCUUUAUGUUGGAUAUGGCUUACGGGCUCGUAUGGGCGCCGAGCUGGUCGUCGGCGGCGGUCGCAUGCGACACGUGCUGUGCGUGCCAGUUCGGUCCUGUGCGAGCUCACAUGUCCCAGGCUCAGUGUAAGAGCUGGUCAUCUAUCCGACCCGUCUUGAAACACGGACCAAGGAGUUUAUCGUGUGCGCAAGUCAUUGGGUGUUGAAAACCCAGAGGCGCAAUGAAAGUGAAGGUAUCCCUCGCGGAGCCGACGUGCGAGCACGGGCACUGCGGUGUCCGAGUGCAGCAUGGCCCCAUCCUGACUGCUUGCAGUGGGGUGGAGGGAGAGCGUACGCGGUGAGACCCGAAAGAUGGUGAACUAUUCCUGAGCAGGAUGAAGCCAGAGGA
rnacentral:rRNA from 1 species